UCAAAACUCAAACGUAGUUUAGAAAACUAGUCCCGUCCGAAUAGUGCUUAAGUUUACAUCUGUAUCGCCGAUCUGGCAUAAUCAUAAUUUGCAAUCCGACAACAGACCUUUUGUUCUUAAGCCAUGGUUGGAUCAAGGUAUGCAUACUCUUGGUGAUAUAUUUAAUAAUCAGGGGCUAAGGUCUUAGAGUGUUAUAAUCUUCCUGGACAUUCCUAUUUUCUGUAUUUAAGGUUGAGAAGCGCUAUGCGUGCUUAUGGAGUACCAUGGAACUGUAACUUGAACUCUCACCCUUUGAUGGACUGUGUGAACUUUUCACAGACACGAGGAGCGGUGUCAUUCAUUUACAACAGACUGCUCAAACUCAGCUGUGGAAAGCUCCCCAUCACCACGAUAUGGGAAAAGGAACUGGCUCCUUGCAAACUAAAUUGGGACUGGAUAUGGGAGACUAUUCCAACGAUGUCAAAAAAUCUUGCCCAUCAGCAUAGGGCUUACGCCACUCCAAAUAUCUUGCACAAAAUGAAGCGCUUGCCUACCCCUUUCUGUUCACUCUGUAAUUCAAAUAUUGUGGGUACUUAUAUGCACAUGUUUUAUGAAUGCCAACAUAUUGGUAACUUUUGGGAUGAGGUAUUUCAAGUUGUGACAGAACUUUGUGAUAAGAUAAUCCUUAAGCACCCCAGUCUUUGUUUGUUGAAUGAUGAUGUGGAUCUUGAUCUGACUGCCAGCAUAGGAUUCUUCAUACUGCACUAACUAAAGCCAAAAAGAUAAUCUUUAAGAUUUGGCCAGGUAAGCCUACAAUUUACUACAGCGAGAAUGAACAAAGCCAAACCAAAAACACGUAGGGCCUGGUCUGAAUUUGUUACAAAUCUCUUAUAUAGGCCAUCCGUACAGAUUACUUCUGAGUGUUAUCAAGGAGGAGCAGGGGAAAUCCUGGAGCUGUGUUGAUGUUGUUGUAACCCAGGUUAAAAUCUGUCAAAUUAUAUAUUAAAUGUUUUUAUAUUGGUUCUUCUUCUUCUUCUUCUUCUUCGAUGGAUUUUUAUGGCAGUUGGCAUCCAAAUUAUUGCAUUACUGCCAUCUGUUGUCUCACUCUAGCUUACUCACUUUUAUUUAAACUCAUCUUUCCAGUCCAGUUCUCCUUAGAAAAUUAAACAAAUAUCUUGGUCAUUAUUUCCAUAUGUUACUAUAUUAUUUGUAUAUUGGUUCUGCUGUCCCUGUCCCCCGACCCGUUAAAUUGCCUUUGUGGAGUACGUGCCCUGCGACUUCACGUAACCCCAGUCAAUUGACUGUGCUUAGCCAAUCACGCAAUUGAGCACAGGUGUUUAAUCAGACUGUGGCGUCUUCCUCAUUCAGAGGUGUGGGGAAGCCAAUCGACAGUUGUGGACAGAACAACUUAACUGGCUGCAGGGAAUUCGUCACCGCCAUCAGGUUAUGUUUACAUAAAGGAACUGGCCAGGUUCUCUCUCUCUCUCUCUCUCUGUCUAUAGAUGAAUGAUGGCGAGCUGAAUUACUACGGCUAGGAGCCUAACAUCUGAACAGACAUCCUAUUGGUCUAGUAGGAAGGUUGUCUGCAGCCUGUCCCCAACACACAUAUACUAGCGCUUCAGUCCCACAUGCACAUCCUUUCCCUGGACAAUAACCAAUGGACUUAUUUAUAUAAACUCAUAAAACUUUUGUGGGUUGUUGCGUUAGUCUUCAAGAAACCAAACAUCGCUGGGACAGUUUUUUUUUUUUCUCUUUUUUUUUUUUUUUUUUGUUCUUGUGUGUGGUAUUUGCUGUAAUUUCUGUUGUUAUAUCAAGAGCAAUAACCUAAAAGUGUACUUGAUGUAUAUUCGGUUCAACUGCAGUCUGUAAAUAUUUUGUUUUUCCUAUGUUUUUUUUUCCUUCAUUAUUUUUGGUUGUAAAUAGUGUAAUCACUUUUCAAUACAUGGUACCUGCACCAAAUUUAAAA